rnacentral:lncRNA from 1 species
CUUUUCCACCUUUUUUAUUAACUUAACAUCCAAAAUAUAAUUUUCUGCAAAGCAUAUCCAAAACAAAUUAGAUCUAACAAGAUAACCUCAAAAACCUGCAAUUUUCCUCAUUUUAAGCAUCGAAAGUGCUAUAUCUCUAUAAAACAUCAAUACCCUCAACUUAGAACAUUUGCAUGUCCUCAGACAACAAAACAUAAUAAAACAAAAUGAUGCUUAACUAGGAGAAAGUAAGCUAUUCAAGGCAGUCAGUCAACAAUUAAACUCAAAACACAACAUCCCCCUCCAAUCUCAAUUUUCAAAACCAACUGUGUAUGAACAUGAAGUACAAUAGUGUGAUACAAUGGGAUCAUGGCAUGAAAAUUACAUUAGCAACAAACCACUACUCAUAUUUACAAAUUACACUAUUCGAACAAGCAAAUAGCUGGCAAUAUGGUUCAAGUGCCUUCAUAACAAAGAUGUCCCACUCACUCAUAUAAAUCAUGCAUGUCAAUGUAGGGACAGUCAAGAGACACUCAUACUUAAAAAAAAGUUCCAACCAAUGCAUUUCAAAUACCAUAGGCUUGCCCUUAUUUUCUUUACCUUAGAAUUCAGAUAGUCAUGUUAGGAUCACUAUAGGACUUUUCUCGGCUUGUAAUGUAGGCUUGGGGGCCGGUAUGGUACAUAUGGACAUAUCAAGUGACUGAGCCUCCUUGGUACUACACUAACCUUGAGGUCUCACUUACUAGCCAAUUUUCUUUUUAUUCUAUCCUUAUUUCUCCCUUUUAUUCUUUAUUGCACAUUGAGGUUGGGUGUGGUCUUUCAUUUUUUAUUUUUUCUCUUUUUCACAUUUUUUUCUUUUCUUUUGCUUUUUUUUUUCUACCAUACCCUGCCCUACUAACUUUUUCUCUUAUUUUACCCUUCUUUAUAUCCAUUUUAUGCUACACACCCCUAUGAUAGCCACCCUCAACUUAGGCAAUUUGUCUAAGUUAAGGUUCACAAUGUCUAAGGAGGACUAGGGCCAAAACAGGUUCAUUCUAAUACAAAUGGGAAUAUGAAUGGUGAAAUAAGAAAAAUAUGCUAUUAGGCCCAAAAUCGGGAUCAAGGGAUACAAUUCACACAUAAAAGGUCAUGUAGGCUAAAAGUGGACUAACCAACUAUGCUACAACCUAGGAAAGAUUAACAGGACAAGUUUUUAAUUUAACACUUAAAGGGAACUAGGCAGUAUCACACACACUCAUGGCACAGAGUCAAUAUUACCAACUAAUGCCUAUCUAGUUCAUGUAAUUAUCAGCAAAUAAUUAUUUUGUCCCUAAUUCUAAUUCCAUAACAAGAUCCACAAAAUUCACACAUAUAUACAUCAACACAAUUCUAAGACACAAAAGUUUUGAGGGGUAUCAAAAAUCAAAACAUAUCUACUGCCCUAAAUUCUCAAAAUCUCCUAAUUACACAAAAUAUCAUAAAACAAAACACAAUAUGCCUAAACAUGCUGGCUCUACUAGAAACAAGACUCUCAAGAAAAGAGGUAAGACAACUGUAACGCCCUGGGAAUACACCCUGAAUGCCAUACGGUGCUUACAGCCACAAGUGACCACAAGCUAACCCAUGAACUGGUAUCUAUUGUGAGCACUGAACUAACUAAUAAUAAAGGAUACACAUGGAACAAAGCUGGAUAUACCAUAUGGUAUAAAUAUUUAAAAAUAUCUUUGAACUAAAAUGCCUGAAAAAUAAAUGUUUAAAAACAACACUGUAAAGACUGUCAGUAAUAACUGAUAAUUGACUAACUGUCUGAAAGCCUCUAACUGACUGACUGUGGAGUUGAUGGGACAAUUCCCCAACUAACUCCGAUUGACUACUAAAUUUAAAUACUAAAAUAAACAUAAACAGUCCUUGGGAUAUGAGGAAUCACCACUGCUACUGCUACUAAUGCGCUGGGAUGUCUAGGUACGGUCAGAAAUCUGAGUGUCUGAACCUAUAAUAUGAGACAUCAUAGCGCAAGAAAUGAGUAUGCGGUCAGUACUUUGAAUGUACUAGUAUACUAAAUAAGGUUAGGCUGAUAUGCAUGACUCAUAUACAUGAAUAAUAACUGACUGAAUAAAUAACAUGAGAUAACUGAUGUAUAAUAUGUGAGGAAGCUUUAAAAUCUAUGAAUGCAUGACAUGAUACUGGAUAGUCUAUAAACUGAAAUACUGAUAUUGAAAAACUAAUAACUGUAUGCAUGCUCAAGUAAGACUGAAAUAGUACUUUGAGUUGAAUACUGUACUGAGACUGUGGGAGCUAUCAUCUAACCGACAUGCCCAAAUAAGUGCUAAUUGGGGUCCAACUUGUGACCCCAGUUUGAAUUGUGUCAGUACCAUGCCACGAGUACUAACACUGGCCGCGUGGAUGUACUAAAAUAAAAUCCCAAAGGACAAAAGAGUCACCCUCUACUAGUAGGUGCUCUAGUGAGAUAUAUGUCAACCCUUAAUUAUUAGGUUAGUAUCUCUAACCUAUGAUGGCUACAUAGAUCUAGUUUGCAGGGACUACUUCUAAAGGUCAUAAACUCAACUAGAAGGUGAGCCCCCUUCCCUGGGUUCGUUCGGUUCUAAAUUCUACUCCCAACUGAACUGACUUAGAAUACUGAACUUAUCUAAAAUUGAUUCAUAGGAUGACUGACUAAACUAAUAAUACUCAUAUAUGACUGAAAACCAUUCUGAAAGUACUAAGAAUAAGUAAAUAGCUAAAUUUCAUGUAUUCAUAACCCUUAGAACUCGAUAACAUUAACAGUAAAAGCAUACCAAAGCUUCAAAAGCAUAAUAAGUAGUCAUUGCUCAAAAUUCAUCUCUUAGGCAUUUCAUCAAACACUUGAAAUUCAUGAACUUAGGCAUGUGAAUGAUUGAAACAUGUGAGAAUAACAUAAUCAUAACACUAGAACCAUACAUUGGGCUAUUUAACAUGGAAUUUCACGCUUUAAACGUGUAAAGUCUACUUUUCAACUACAAACACUUGUAAACAUCAUGCAUAAUCAAAUUUCCCAAAAGCUUUAUGAAAUUAAGUCAUUGUAAACAUGUGAACUCAUAAUUUUGAACACAAAAAUAGAUACUUGGACUCCAUAGAUGAAAAGGGCCUAUGGAUGAACAUUUAACAUACCUUAAGGCUUUAAUCUUGCAAGAAAAUUGAUGUUCUUGAUCGUUCUUGGGUGGUGAAUCUUGAAUUAUUGGGUUUUAUUGAAGAAAUAAAGGAUUGAACUUAAUGAAUUUGGGUGAUGACUAUGGUUUAUUUUAAAGAGAAAUUGUGGAAAUAUGGCAUACAAUGCCUUAACUAAUGAUAACUCCCGUGUUUUUACAGAUUGGGCCAUGGGAGAAGACAAGACUGCCCCUCUGAAAUUAAAAUCAUAAAUGAAAUGCCGAUUGAUCCCUUACCAUGAUGCGCUAAGGCCUCCAUCGCUAUUCUAUCGUGAAAUGCCAUAGUCGCGGUGACUUCGCCUCCAUCGCUAUUCCAUCGUGAAAUGCCAUAGUAGUGGUGACUUCCUAUUUUGGAAAUCCAAACGUGGGUCAAACCUCGUCUAAAAAAUCCAAAAAAUUACUUGAGACAUGCUACAGAUACCCCUGAAUAUAAAUCAACUCAAAAACUUACAUCUCGGGGUUGGGAAGGUCAUUUUAAAAAUCACCGAAGUUAAGAGCCCAAAAAUAAAACUAAGUGUCCAACACGUAGCUAAAUUUUUAGGUUCUAAGCCCCUUGUACAUGCUUUAUAUGCUGAAUUUAGCUAUGACAAAUAUGGGGUAUUACAAUAUCUCCCCCUUAGGAACAUUCGUCCUCGAAUGAGACUGAUUAAGCUAAGAAAAUACAGAGGUACUGAGAUUAUAUGCUGAAUAUGCAUAACUGAAAACAUGACUACAUGACUGAGUCUAAAACAUGGUGUCUGAUUGAACUGAUUCAUGGCUAGAACUGAGAAUGGAAAAGAGAUAAUUUAAGGAAAACUAUUACUUUGAGGUGAGUUUGAAUUUGUGGAGAGAAGGUGAGGGUACUUGGUAUGCAUGUCUACUUCUGCUUCCCAAGUAGCUCCCUCAACGGACUGAUUCCGCCAAUGAACUUUGACCAAGGGAACUUCUUUGUUCCUUAGUCUACGAAUUUGGAGGUCUAAGAUUUUGAAUGGGAGCUCUUCGUAUGAAAGGCUUACCUGAACAUCUAUAGUUUCUCAAGGAACAACCAUAGUUGGGUCACUAAUACACUUCUUUAACAAGGACAUAUGGAACACUGGAUGCACGGAAGCCAAAUCUGUGGGCAGCUCAAACUUAAACGCUACCAUUCAAAAGUAACUCAAGCUCUUGUAAGGGCCUACAUAUCAGGGACUGAGUUUCCCCUUUUUGUCAAAUUUCUUUACUUUCUUCAUGGGAGAGAUCUUCAAAUAUACCAAAUCUCCUACUCAAACUUAAGAUCUUUUCUCCUCACAUAUGCAUAGGAUUUCUAAUGGCUUUGGGAUGUCUUAAGCCUCUCCCUAAUCAAUAGAACAUUCUCUAAAGCGUCAAACACAGAAUCUGGCCCUAUCAAUGCAAUCUCACCUACCUCAAACCAACAAAUAGAUGAUCUACAUAUCCUCCCAUAGAGAGCCUCAAAUAGAGCCAUAUGAAUACUGGAAUGAUAACUAUUAUUGUAAGAAAACUCAAUCAAUGGCAAGUGAUCAUCCCAACUGCCCUUAAAGUUGAUAACACAAUCUCUCAAUAUGUCCUCUAAGGUCUGAAUGGUCCUCUUUUCCUGACUAUUUGUCUAAGGGUGAAAGGUUAUACUGAGACAAAAUUAGGUACCAAGACCCUUCUAAAAAACCUUCCAAACAUGAGAGGUAAACUGAGUACCUCUAUCUAAACUGAUGGACAAUGGGACUCCAUGCAAUCUAACCUACUCCCUAAUGUAGAGCUUGGCAUAAUCCUCAAUUGAAUAAGAUAUAUGCACUGGCAAGAAAUGGACUGAUUUAGUUAUUCUGUCUGUAAUAACCCAAAUUAAAUUAUGCUGGCAACGUGAACGAGGCAACCCAGUCACAAAAACUAUGUUCACCUAUUCCCACAUCCAAGUGGGAAUGCUGAACUCCUACAUAGAGCCACUAGGCCUUUGGUUCUCAAUCUUAACCUACUGACAAUUAGAAUACUUGGCUAUAAACUCUGUAAUAUCCCUCUUUAUUCCACUUCACUAAUAGAUAUCUAGCAAAUCACUGUACAUCUUAAUGUCCCUUGGGUGAAUAGAGUAACGUGCACCAUGCACUUAUUCUAAGACUUGUUGUCUCAACCUAUCAACACACGACAUGUACAUCCUACCUUGAUACUACAACACACUAUCUCCUCCUUGGGAUAAAACCUCUACUUUUUGAUCUCUAACUGACUUCUUCAACUUAAUUAGACUGGGAUCCCUAUCUUGAUUUUCUUUUACUUCGGCAACCAAAGAAGAUUCCAAACUAUUCUGAACCCGUACACUACCCUCAACUAAGUCAACCAAAUGAAUGCCUAAUCUAGACAACUAAUAAACCUCCUGAACUAACUUCUUUUUAUCAUUCUCAAUAUGAGGCACACUACCCAUAGACAAACUACUAAGGGCAUCUGCCCCUACAUUGGCCUUGCCCGAAUAAUACAAAACACUUAUAUCAUAGUUUUUCAAUAAUUCUAACCUCCUUCCCUGACAAAGAUUUAAAUCUCUCUAUGAAAAUACAUACAACAAACAUUUAUGAUCUGUGAACACAACAAUAUGCACCCCAUAUAAAUAAUACCUCUAAAAUUUCAAGGCAAACACAAUAUCUGCUAACUUAAGAUCAUGGUAGGAUAAUUCUUUUCAUGGGGCUUAAUUUAUCUAGAGGUGUAGGCUAUGACCUUACUUCUCUACAUUAACACAAAAACCUAAAACAACUCUAGAAGCAUCACAGUAAACUACAAACCCAUCUAUGCCAUCUGGCAAGGUUAAAACUGGGCCUGAGGUGAGUUGAGUCUUCAACUCUAGAAAACUCUUCUCACAAGAAUCCAACUACUAAAACUUGACUUUCUUCAGAGUUAAUCUAUAAAUGAGGGAUGCAAUAGAUGAAAACCCUUCAACAAAUCAUCUGUAAUAGCCAGCCAAACCUAGGAAACUCCUGAUAUCUGAUGGAGAAAUGGGUUUGGGAAAGUUUCUCACUACUUAGGUCUUUUGAGGGUCGAAUCUAAUGUCAUCACCAAAAAUAAUAUGGCCAAAUAAAGCUACUGAUCAUUGCCAAAACUUUCACUUACUAAAUUUGGUAAACCACUGAUGGGCUCUAAGAGUCUGUGAUACAAUUUGAGAUGGCCUGCAUGAUCAUUUUCACUACGGGAAUAGAUAAGAAUGUUAUCUAUGAAGACUAUGACGAACAUGUCCAAAUACUGCUUAAACACUCUGUUCAUCAAAUUCAUGAAAGUUGCUGGGGCAUUUGUAAGACCAAAAGAGAUAACUAAGAAUUUAAAGUGACCAUACCGAGUCCUGAAAACUAUUUUAAAAAUGCCACAUUCUCUGACUCUGAGAUGAUGAUAGCCAUAUCUGAGGUAUAUCUUAGAGAAGUUACUGCUACCCUGAAGUUAGUCGAACAAGUCAUCAAUUAUGGGGAGUGGGUAAUUAUUCUUGAUUGUGACUUUAUUUAAUGGAUGGUAAUCGAUGCACAUACGAAGAGAACCGUCUUUUUUUCGCACAAAAAGGACUGGAGUGCCCCAUGGGAAAACACUGGGCAUGAUGAAUCCCUUAUCUAAGAGAUCUUUCAACUAUUAUUUUAACUCCCUAAGCUCUACUAGAGCUAUUUUGUAGGGUAAAAUAGAGAUAGGUUGGGUAUUUGGAAGGAGAUACAUUUCAAAGUCAAUUUUCCUUUUAGGAGAAACUCUGAGAAGAUCUUUGGGAAACACAUCUGGAAAUUCCCUCACUACUGAAACUGACUCAAGAUUGAGAGUCUCUUAACUAGAGUGACUAACUCGAACAAGAUGGUAGACAAACCCCUUGGAUAUCAUUUUUCCCGCUCUAAGGUACGAAACAAGCGGACCCCUAAGUGUUGAAGUACUAACCCUCCAUUCUAGGACUGGCUCAUUUGGAAAUUGAAAAUGAACAACUCUAUUUCUAUAAUCGACUUAAGCAUAGCAUGAGUGGAGCCAAUCCAUUUUGAGAAUGGCAUUAAAAUCCAUCAUCUCUAACUCCACAAGAUUAACUAAAUUGACUUUUUGGGAUAUUAUGACUGGAAAGUCUUGUAUACCUACCUGGACACAAUAGAGACACCUACUGGGGUAGAAACUGCAAAGGAUUUUAAUAAAGUCUUAGGACUGACAUCAAAAUCAACAACUAUGUAAGGGGUUACAAAAGAAAGAGAAGCUCCGGGAUCUAAUAAAGCAUAAACAUAUAAAUGAAAGACCUGCAACAUAGCAGUAACCACAUCAGGAGAAUUUUUUUGAUCCCACCAAAACUGAAGUGCAUACAAUUUAUUUGGGUGCUAACCACUGGUGGCACUGGAAGUGGCACCCUACUGAGUCGAGAGAUCGGAUGGAACUGAUGGACGACUAGACUAACCCUGUUGACCAUUAUAUGGGAAAUACCUGACCUUAUGGCCUGGUUUUCCACACUAAAAACAUAUAUCACUGCAAGCUCUACACAUACCCUGAUGGUUUCUACAACUUUUCUGGCAAAGAGGAUUUGUGCGACCGCUGUUCACAGUCCCUGGGACUUAGGGCCUGGCUCUCUCUCCCGAUUAUUAUUUCUGAACUUUAGUGCUAGCACACUAGAUAAAUAUGGAGCUGGGACUAAAUAUUUUUGAUGGAAUAGAGAGCGGUUACCACCCUCUAAGUCAGAUGAGCAAAAUUAAAGAUGCCUGUUCUAGCCCUCUUAUUCUCUUUAAGCUUCUGAUCCUCAAUCUGUUGAGCAUAGACCAUCAAUCGAUUUAAGUACAUCUCUUUAAUCAACAUUGCGGUCCUGCACUUCUUGACCAUGCUAUCAGCUACCCCAAAGACAAACUUACUCAUCUUAGACCUGUCAUCAGACCCCACAUUAGUAGCAUACCUGGCUAGCAAAGUAAACUUAAGAGAAUACUCCUUCACACUCAUGUUUCCCGGUCUCAAAAUAAUAAACUCCUGCACCUUAUCUUUCCUUAACUCUAAGGGAAAGAACCUAUCUAAAAAGGCUAUCGCAAACUCUUCCUAUUUUAACAGGCCCUGCAUCUACCCCUCUGUCUCCCUUCCACUACUUAUACUAGGUGUGCGCAACAUCCUGCAACUGGUAAGCACCUAACUCUGCACUCACUAGAAGUAACACCCAUAAUAUCACUUACAUUAUAAACCAUGUCAAGGAACUCCUACGGAUCUCAUCAAACUUAAAUCUUGAAAACAGAGGAGGGUUCAUUCGGGUGAAGUCUCGAAUCCUAAAUGGGACAGUAUAGCCACUAGAAUGGCUUGUAUGGUAGAUGGCUAAUUAUUUUGGGUUUCUACUGAGUGAGCUAAAGUAGUGAAUGUAGCUCUGAAUUUUGCAUGGCAGACAUGCUCAUUCAGGGGAUCUCCCUAAAUAGGUGUAGGUCUGAGCUGUUUCCUAUUUCUCCUUCUGUUAUUCAUUCUAGGAGGCAUGUUCUGUAAAUGAAAAGAAGAUUGAAUUAUAAAUAUGGUUUAAAUUGAGCUUAUUCUCACUCGCAUGACAUGAAUACAGAAAGAAGAGAAACUUUUCCUAAAAAAUCUUGUAGCCUCUUAUCCAUAAGUGUAGCGCGUUUCACAACCAUGCACAAGACUCUACUCAACGCGACUUUAGAGUACCUAGGACACUUUAAAACUUGGCUCUGAUACCAAGUUUGUAAUGCCUUGAGAGUGUACCCUGUAUUCCACAUAGCGCUUAUAGUCACAAGUGACCAUAAGCUAACCCAUGAGCUGGUACCUACCGUGAGCACUGAACAAACUGAUAAUAACGAAUACAUAUGUGUAGAAAACAAAGCUGGAUAUGCCAUAAGGUUUAAAAAUUUAAAAAUAUCUCUGAACUAAUAUGCUUGAAAAGAAACUAUCUUAAAAUAAUACUAUAAAGAUUUUCAAUAACAAUUGAAAACUGAGUAACUAUCUGAAAGCCUCUAACUAACUGAAUACUUACUGAAACACUAAAAUAAAAAUAAAUGGUCCUUGGGUUAUGAGAUAUCACCACUACUACUGCUAAUGGUGCGAUGGGAUGUAUAGAUGUGGUCGGGAAACUGAGCGUACGAACCUAUGAUAUAAGACAUCAUAGUGCAAGAAAUGAGUAUCCGAUCAGUACUUUGAAUGUACUAGAAUGUGAAAGGAUGAAUAAUAACUGACUGAAUAAAUAACAUGAGAUAACUGAUGUAUAGUAUGCGAGAAAGCUGUAAAAUUUGAGAAUGCAUGACCAAGCAUAUUACAUUAUACUGGAUAGUCUAUUUACUGAAAUGCUAAAAUAUUAAUACUGAACAACUAAUAACUGUAUGCAUAGUUAAGCAAGCCAAAAACUGAACUCUGAGCUAAAUACUGUACUGAGAUUGUGGGAGUAAUCAUCUAACUGGCAUACCCCAAUAAGAGAUAAUUGGGGUCUAACCUAUGACCCAAAUUAGAAGGGUGUCAGUACAGUGCCCUAGGUACUAACACUGUCUGCGUGGAUCCACUGAAAUAAAGUCCUAAAGGACUAAAGAGUCACCCUCUACUGGCAGGUUCUCCAGUGAGAUAUAUGUCAACCCUCAACUGGCAGGUUAACAUUCUAACCUAUAUUGACUAUAUAGUUCUGGUAUGCAGGGACUGCUACUAAAGGUCACACCCUCAACCGACAGGUGAUCCCCCAUCUCUGGGUUCAUUCGAUGCUAAAUUAUACUCCUAGCUGAACUAACUCAAAAUACUGAACUGAUCUAAACUUAACUGACAGGAUAACUGACUGUACAAAUAAUACUCAUAUAUGCCUGAAAAUCAUUUUUAAAGUAUUAAGACUAAGUAAAAAACUAAAUUUUUGCUAUUCAUAACACCCUGGACUCGAUAACAUUAACAGUAAAAGCAUACCAAAGCUUUGAAAGCAUAAUAAGUAGUCAUUUCUCAAAAUUCAUCUCUUAGGAAUUUUAUCAAACACUUGAAAUUCAUGAACUUAGGCAUGGGAAUGAUUGAAACAUGUGGGAAUAACAUAAUCAUAACACUAAAACCAUACAUUGAGGGAUUUAAGAUGGAAUUUCAUGAUUUAAACGUGUAAAGGCUACUUUCCAACUAAAAAUGCUUGUAAACAUCAUGCAUAAUCAAAUUUCCUAAAAGCUUCAUGAAAUUAACUCAUUAUAAACAUGUGAAUUCUUGAUUUAGAACACAAAAAUAGGUACUUGGACUCUAAGGGUGAAAAGGGCCCAUAGAUGAACAUUUAACAUACCUUAAGGCUUUAAUCUUGCAAAAGAAUUGAUGUUCUUGAUCGUUCUUGGGUGGUGAAGCUUGAAUUAUUUAGUUUUAUUAAAGAAAUAAAGGAUUGAGUUUGAUGAAUUUGGGUGAUGCUAUGGUUUAUUUUAAAGAGAAAUUGUGGAAAUAGGGCAUACAAUGCCUUAACUGAUGAUAAAUCUUGUGUUUUUACUUAUUGGGUUAUAGGAAAAGAUCUGACUGCCCCUNNNNNNNNNNNNNNNNNNNNNNNNNNNNNNNNNNCCGAUUGAGCCAUCACCAUAAUGCUCCAAAGCCUCUAUUUCUAUUUCACCGUGAAAUGCCACAAUCGCAGUGACUUGCUAUUUUGGAAAUCCAAACAUGGUCCAAACCUCAUCCAAAAAAUCUAAAACUUAUUUGAGACAUGCUACUUACAUACCUGAACAUGAAUCAACUCAAAAACUUAUGUCUCGGGGUUGAGAAGGUCACUUUAAAAAUCAUCAAAGUUGAGAGGCCAAAAAUAAAACUAAGUCUCCAACACUUAGCUAAAUUUUUAGGUUCUAAGCCCUUUAUAUAUGCACGAUGGGCUGAAUUGAGCUAAGACAAAUACGGGGUAUUACAGCAACAAAAAUCCCAAGAGAAUACUAAAACCCACAAGUAGCCCCACCCUUAGCUAAAAAUCAUGCAUUAUCUCCAAUGCAUCUAACCAAAACAAGAGAGUUAGGAACAUACAUGUUAUACCAUAGGUUCGAAUAUCCGACGUCAAUCACACAAAUACUAAUAAAAACAACAAAAUACCAUGGGUUGCCUCCCAAGCAACACCUAGUUUACUAUUACGGCAUGACUCAUUUCCCUUAGCUACUCAGACUUCACCAAGGUCUAUAUCAGCACAAACUCUGACUUCUUCCAUGUUUCCCAUGUAGUGUUUCACUCACUACCCAUUUACUUUAAAUGUGAUAUCACCAUCAUGCUUUAUCUCAAUACUACCAUAUGGGAAUACCUUAACCAUGGAAACAAGCGUAGUCUUGAAUUAUAUAACAAGAUCACAUCAUUGGGUUUGAAUAUUCUCUUUUUUAUCUUCUUGUCAUGGUACAACAUCAUUAUUUGUUUGUAUAUGGAUGAGCUCUCAUAAGCACAGAGUCAAAAUUCAUCCAACUUAUUCACCUUGCUCAACCUUAAGUUUGCUGCAUCACGCCACUCAAAAUUCAGCCUUUUCAAUACCCAUAGUGCCUUGUGCUCAACCUCAACCGGUAAAUGACAUGCUUUUCCAUAUAAAAUAUAGUAUGGGGAGGCACCUAUGGGAGUGUUAUAAGCUGUUUAGUAAGUCCAUAAUGCAUCAUAUAACUUUCUUGACCAAUCAGUUCUAUUGGCAUUCACAGUUCGUUGCCAAGAUAAACUUUAUUUCUCUAUUUGUGACUUCAACUUGACUACUUGUCUGAGGAUGGUAAGGUGUUGCCACCUAAUGCCUUACACUAUAUCUAUCUGGUGGGGCUUUGAACAAAUGGUUGCAGAAGUAAGACCCACCAUAACUAAUAAUGGCACGUAGAGUGCCAAAUCUAGAAAAGAUGUUUCUUUUAAGAAAAAUGGUGACACUUCUGCCUUCAUUAUCUGGAAGUGCAACUACCUCCACCCAUUUUGAUACAUAUUUAACCACUACCAGAAUGUAUUUCAUGCCAAAGAAGCUCACAAAUGGGCUUAUGAAAUAAAUCCCCAAAACAUCAAAUAGCUCCAACUCCAAAAUAGGCAUUAUGGAGAGUUUAUGGUGCCACAAAAUGUUUUCUUGACUCUGACAUUGGUCACAGACCUUUGCAAAAUAGUGAUCAUCCCUGUAGAUUAUAGACCAAUAAAACCAAUAUUUUAAGAUUUUAUGGGUUGUGCGUGUACCACUAUGAUGACCUCCAACUCGUAAUGAAUAACAAGCCUCUAUAAUGCUCAACAUCUCCACCUCUGGUAUACAUAUCUGAAUUACCCUAUUAGCACAAACACUAAAUAGAUAUGGCUCAUCCCAAAAGAACUUCCACACCUUAUGCAUAAAUUUCCAUCACUGCUGGAAGGAUAAAUCUUUUAGAAGGACAACACUUGCCUAGUAGUUGGCAAAAUUAGCAAACUAGGGGAUUAAAUUAUGAUAUGCUGCUAGAACAUGAUCAUCUAGAAAACCAUCAUAUAUCUCAAGAUUAUACCCUAAUUUCGAUAUAGUUUCCUCCUCAAGUCUGUAUAAGUAGUCUGGAACUUAAUUUUCUUUCCCUUUUUGAUCCUUGACAUUAAAAUCAAACUCUUAUAGUAAGAACCCAAAAAAUCAAUUAUGUUUUAGCAUAUUUAUUCAACAUUAAAUACCUCAAUGUUGCAUGGUCCAUGUUAACUAUCACCUUGUCCCCUAUCAAAUAAGACUAAAACUUCUCAAAAGCAAAAACCAUUGAGUGUAGCUUUUAUUUUGUGACUGUAUAAUUUUUCUAUGCAGGGGUCAAAUCUUUACUGGUAUAGUAUAUAGGAUGCAAGAUCUUCUCUCUUAUUUGGCUUGGGAUAGCACCCAACGUCACUUCACUUGCAUCACACAUAACCUCAAAAGGUCUAGACCAGUUAGGAAACACAAUAAUGGGUGGCAAAAUCUACCAUUCCUUUAGGAAUUUAAAAGACUUUAGACACUCAUUAUGAUGCACAAAUUUAAUAUCUUUCUCUAAAAGUUUGCACCUAGGAGUUGCAAUUUUAGAGAAGUCCUUGAUGAAUCUUCUAUAGAAACCUUCAUGGCUUAAAAAGCUUCAUAUGCCUCUAACUGAUUCUGGCGGUGGCAAUUUCUCAAUAACCUUAAUCUUUUCUUUUUCUACUUCAAUUCCAUAUUUAGAGAUCUUGUGCUUUAGUCAGAUACUUUCUCUCAUCAUAAAGUAGCAUUUUCCCAGUUUAGUACCAAACUGUAUUCUUUGAAUCUAUGUAGUGCACUAGCCAGAUGAACCAAACAAUCAUUGAAAGAAUCCCCAACUACUGAAAAGUCAUCCAUGAAUACCUCUAUCAUGUCUUCUAUUAUGUUAGAGAAUAUGGACAUCACACAUCUCUGAAAAGUGGUAGGUGCAUUGCAUAGUCCAAAUAACAUCCUCUUGAAAGAAAAGGCCCCAUAGGGGAAAGUAAAGGUUCUCUUUUCUUAGUCUUUGGGAGCAAUCAUAAUUUUAUUGUAACCCAAAUACCUAUCAAGAAAAUAUUACCAACCUCUACCUGCAAAUUUGUCCAACAUCUGAUCCAUGAAUGACAUUGGGAAGUGGUUCUUUUGUGUCCACUUGUUCAACUUUCUGCAAUCCAUGCACACUCUCUAUCAAGUCACUGGUCUUAUUGGUACUAGCUUAUUUUUUUCAUUUGGAACAACUGUGAUCCCUCUUUCAUUGGGAUGCACUGAACUGGGCUAACCCACUUGUUGUCUACAAUAGGAAAAAUCACUUCAGUAUCUAACCACUUGAUUAUCUGAUUUUUCACCACUUCUUGUAUAGGAGGAUUUAGUCAUUUCUAAUGCUUAAUAAUGGGAAUGCUAUCUAGUUAAAGAUGCAUAAUAUGUGUGCAUAUAUCUGGUGGGAUCCCCACAAUAUCUGCAAUAGUCCACCCAAUAGCUCUCUUGAAUUUCUCUAAUACUGAUAUAAAAGCUUCCACCUAUGAUCCUGAUAAAUCUGCUAUAAUAAUUACUGGCAAUGUAUUAUUGGCCCUCAAGAAUACAUACUGCAAAUGAGAUAGGAUGGCCUUUAAUUCCAAUGCAAGAGGUUCUUCAAUCAACGGUCUUGCAGAAGGUGUGGUUCUAUUCUUCAAGUCAAGAUCAGCACUCGAGGCCACUAUGCUUGCAUCACAUAUUAUGUCAAAAUGUGCAAACUAGUCCAGUAACACAAUAACAGAAGUCAAAAUCGACCUCUCCUUUAGGUAUUUGAAAUACUUGAUACACAUAUUAUUAAACACAAACUUCAACUCCUUCCCUAAAAGUUUGCAUAGUAGGGAUACAAUUUUAGAGAAGUCAUUGAUGAAUCUUUUAUGGAAAUCGACAUAUCCUAAAAAACUCCGUAUACCUUUUACUGAUACUGGAGGAGGAAAUUUCACAAUCACCUCUAUCUUCUCUUUGUCUGCCCCAAUGCCAUAUUUGGAGAUCUUAUUCCCUAACACUAUAGCUUCUCUUACUAUGAAGUGACAUUUUUCAUAAUUUAGCACCAAAUUACAUUCUUCACAUAUACGCAGUACACUGGAUGGAUGUGUUAGGCAAUCAUCAAAUGAAUCUCCAAUAAUUAAAAAUUGACCCAUUAAUACCUCAAUCGUAUCUUUCACCUUGUCAUAGAAUAUAGACAACAUAUAUCUCUAAAAGGUUUUAGGUGCAUUGAAUCUGAACAACAUCCUCUCGAAUGCAAAGUUCCCAUAGGGGGAAGUAAAGGUAGUCUUUUAUUGAUCCUCGUGAGCAAUCAUGAUUUGAUUGUAUCCAUAGUACCCAUCACAAAAACAAUACCAACCCCGGCUGGAAAAUUUGUCCAACAUCUGAUCCAUGAAUGACAUUGGGAAAUGGUUCUUUUGUGUCCACUUGUUCAACUUUCUGCAAUCCAUGCACACUCUCUAUCAAGUCACUGGUCUUAUUGGUACUAGCUUAUUUUUUUCAUUUGGAACAACUGUGAUCCCUCUUUCAUUGGGAUGCACUGAACUGGGCUAACCCACUUGUUGUCUACAAUAGGAAAAAUCACUUCAGUAUCUAACCACUUGAUUAUCUGAUUUUUCACCACUUCUUGUAUAGGAGGAUUUAGUCAUUUCUAAUGCUUAAUAAUGGGAAUGCUAUCUAGUUAAAGAUGCAUAAUAUGUGUGCAUAUAUCUGGUGGGAUCCCCACAAUAUCUGCAAUAGUCCACCCAAUAGCUCUCUUGAAUUUCUCUAAUACUGAUAUAAAAGCUUCCACCUAUGAUCCUGAUAAAUCUGCUAUAAUAAUUACUGGCAAUGUAUUAUUGGCCCUCAAGAAUACAUACUGCAAAUGAGAUAGGAUGGCCUUUAAUUCCAAUGCAAGAGGUUCUUCAAUCAACGGUCUUGCAGAAGGUGUGGUUCUAUUCUUCAAGUCAAGAUCAAACUUCUUAGGGGCAUAAUAGUAAGAGCCUAUUCUAUGUAAGGAACCAAAAAUCUCAUCAUAAUUAUCUAUUCCAUCACUCUCAAAGUUCAUAAUCAUGACUGAUACUAUUUUUACCUGUAAUCUCUCCUCAAUAGGCACAUCUACUGUGAACAUAUCAUCAUUCACUGCAUCUAUCCCACUACUCUUAUAUCAUCUAACUGUUAUAUUGUCAUACAUAUAUUCAACACAAUUUGAUCAUCAUUUUAAUUAAAAGUGAUUUCUUCCAAAUCCAUGUCAAUCAACCCUUGACCAAUAGACAAGAAAGGUCUACCCAAUAUGAUAGGUGAAUGGGUAUCCACUUCAUAGUAUAGAAUCAUGAAAUCUAUCGUAUAAAUGAAUGAUGCUACCAUUACUUACAUGUUAUGUACAACACCUACUGGCUUUUUUAUAGAUAAAUCAAUCAUUAACAACCUUUCUGAGAUAGGUUUGAGUUUGCCUAUACCUAAUACCUUGUAUAUCCCUAAUGGAAUUAUAUUUAUUCAUUCUUCCAUAUCAUAUAGAGCCUGAUUAAUCUCAUAAGUCCUAAUGGAACAUAGGAUAUUGACUGCAUCUGGAUCCCCUUUCUUUUAUCCCAAUGGUCCAUAAAAAUAUGAGCUAAACUAUUGCACUAUAUUAUGGAGUUCUUCUGUAACCUAGUCAUUAUCUUAAUCACUAUAGAAAUAAUCAUCACCAUAAGUUAGCUUCUCAAACUCUACCUCAGAUAGCUCAUCAGCAACAACAUCCUUCUUUUUCAGUACAUCAGUAGUAGUUGAAAAAGGUUGAUCAGGUAAGGGGUCAUCCCUAGUGUCAAUGGUUCUAUAAUGAACAAGUGUAGGAGGAUUCUACAUAGUGUCACAAGUAAAUGCUCCUGACUGCCUCUCAGCUAAAGUAACAGAGAUUUUCCCAUAUUGCUACUCUAACUAUUUGAUAGUAGUUGUAUAUGACUCAACCUUUUGGGCUAAUCCUGAAAUAUUAGCCUUAAGUUCCUUGAGAUAAAUCUCUUAGCUCUCUUGAAACUUCAUUAGCUUGGUCAACAUUUCUUCUAUUUUUGAUUCUAUAUCUCAUCUACUAGGUAAAAUGUACUUAUCUUUCUUCUCAUAAUAGUCUGACCUUUAAUCCCUUGCUCUUAGGCUCGGAAACUCGCCAACUAACGAUCCACAUACUUUGCCUCCUCUACUGAGUCAAACUCAUGUAUCUUAUAAGAAUUUACUAUUGUAAAUUAUUUGGUUAAUUCACCAUUAUCCAUCUGUAAUAGUUAAAUCUCUUGAGGUACAACAUCCUUAAUUCUUUUUUGAUCACCGGAAGCUUCAAUGGGCAUAAAUAUCAGAACCUCUCUCAACUUCCUCAGUUUUCCACCCUCAGUUAGUUAAUGAGAUCUGAUCCAUAAUAUUCAAAGAUAUCUCCCAUGGUAAUCUCAGAAAGGCUCCUCCAAAGAUAGUGUAUGCCAUCACUUUGGAAUUGAUUGUCAGGGCUCUAUAGAAUAUCUCUGACAGGCUUUUCUAUGAUAUAGGGUGGUUGGACACUAUGAUAAUCUUAUUCUUGAACUUGAACCAUGCCUCAUACAUAGACUCUGACUAACUGCAUAAAAUUAUAAAUCUCUUCCUUGAGUUGUAAUACCCUGAAUAAAGGAAAGAACCUGUUCAAGAACUAUCUGUGUAGCUUAAUCCAAGUAGUAAUAGAACCUCUUGGAAGUUCCCCUAGCAAUAAUGAUGCUUCUCCAGUAAGUGAGAAAGAAAACAACCUCAGUCUCAGUGCCUCCUGAUCUACCCCAAGUAUGGUAUAUGAAGUGCAGAUCCCAAUAAAUUUGUUAGAUUCAUGUUUGCGUCGUCUGUAGGCAACCCUACAAACACACCCUUCAAGUAUAAGAGCUGGAUCAUAGAACUAUAAAUAUUGAACUUAACAUUGGGAGGUAAUAUAAAAGGGAUAAUGGCUCCAGUUUCUGCUGUCUCAACGAAUCCCAUAUCUUCUUCAUCAUUAAUAUACGACUGCAUAUACUGAUAUGUUGGGAUGGCUUAAGGUUGACCUCUUCAAAAUCUAUCCUAAUUUUCACCGAGUAUUUCUAGGCAGUCUGCUACCUGUCUCUUAUUAGCUAACUCUAUCUGAGCUAAUAUUUUAUUAGUUUGUCUAUCAACAACCUCCUAAACUCCUUCUUAAGAGAGAUUGUCCUUCUUCAGCUCUCAUAUCUUACUAUAUAAUUGUAGGAUCUUCUCUAAAAUUAGUGGGAGUAAGGGAUUACCUCUACUCUAUGUGAUAGGAAUACACUGGUAUAUUCCCAACUCAAAAAAAAAAUAAAAACCCAAAAACUACAAACAACUUCAAAUCGCAAAUCAACAUUGUGUUCCCUGGCAACAACGCUAAUUUCUUGAUGACAUCCAAGCAAUAUCUCCUUUUAGAUGAUGAUACGGUCACUGUCAAGAUAUAGUAAUCAAGUUGGGGUCAAAUCCUAAGUAAAUAUAUGGCUUUGUAAAUCUUAGCAGUUGUAGUCAACAAGUAGAACAAGAAGAGUAAAUGGGGAAUUGUUUGUAGUAAUCUUGAGCAAAGAAUAGUAUUAACUAUAAUUGUAUUCAGUAUAGGUGAACACUAGGAUUGCGUUCCCCUUAGAUUCUCAAAUUUGUAGGUUUAUCAUGCAUUGUUGAACCAACUCACUACCUUGAAUGUAGAACUAAUAUAUUAUGUACCUUUCAAUAGUCUUUUGGACUAGUAGAAGGAUUUCACUCUUACCUUUUGAGUCUUAAGAUGUCGCAUUACUAACCCUUAUCUUGAUCCCAAUUAACUAUUACCUUUUGAGUCUCUAGUAUUUAGAUUAAAGCUAAACAUCUUAUGUAAAUAUUACCUAUUAGCAUAGAUCGAUAGUUAAACCUCAAAUUACUAUUGUCAUUAUCUUUUCAUAGUCACUACUUCUCUUUUGGAGUAAUUAGCAAUAAUUUAGGUAGGAUCUUAACAUUUUCAACCGCUAAGAAAUCUAUUAAAGUGAAGAUAAUGCAAUGCAUUCCAUGGGUAUUUAUUUAAUUCCUCAAGAUAAGACAAUACAAUCUCAAGAUCAAAAUUGGAUCUUGAAAUCAAAAUAUGUUUGUCAGUUUCAAAAGUGUGUAAAUCUGACUAAAAAGUAUAUAAAGGGUAUUUAUAGUAUAAGAGGAAACCCUAAAACCAAUGCCUAAAUAAAAUAAGAGAAAACUAGGAUGGUGGCUACCUGCUCUCUAUACCUACGGUCUGGCAUAGGGCAUAGGCCGUACCAACAGUCCUAAUAUUAGGCAUAAGUGCAGACCAUAAGUGCAACUCCUGCAGCCUAGCUCUCAAGAUUUCAAUCUCUGUCCACCUACAGUCCAUAGGUCCUACAUGCAGUCUGUAGGUUGCUUUGGUAGGUGUUAGGAGUCAUCUUUUUAGCUCUUUUAAACUUUUGAAACAUGCUUUGAUCACGAACAAGCCGGAAAACAUCUUGAAUAUCCAUAAUUACCCGAAAGAGUGGCCAAAAAUACUUUUUUGACCUUUUCAUGAACUUAACAUCCAAAACAUGAUUUCUUACAAAACAUACCUAAAAUGGAUCAUAUCUAACAAAAUAGCCUAAAAAACAUGCAUAUUUUCUUAGUUUUAAGCAUCAAAAGUGCUAGAUUUCAAUAGCACAUCAACAACUCCUUUUAUAAUUAGAGGGUACUACCUUUCAAGAUAACUAAUCAGGUUUGGUUGCGUUCUUAUCUGACCGAGUUAGCUAGCCCAUUGUUAAGGGCGUAUGUAGUUGAAAAACUAAGAGAGAAUGAGAAUCACAAUGUAGAAGAAAAACAAGAACAAAAAGAUAUGUUUGAUGAUAAAUUGGAUGAUAUGGAAAUAAAUAUUCUACAUGAUGAUGAGAGUAGUGGAGAUCAAGUGAGGAAGGAUGAUCAAACACCUGCGUCCAUUGUUGCAAGCAAUAUUGUGGGUGGUUCUUCUCAAUCAAUGUAGUUGGGAAAUCGUAAAGAUGAUGAGACUGGUAAUUUCAAGGGAAUGGCAUUCAAGAAUAAAGAUGAAAUAACUACUUCUUUGUAUAUUGCUUGCUUGAAAAAUAAUUUGUACUAAAGAAUGUGAUUAAUUCAAGAAAUAUCUAUUAUUUUAGAUGUUCUAAUCCAAAUUGCAAGUGGUGGUUGAGGGCUGUGAAAUACUUAAGUUCUAACAGAUUCAUCAUUAAUGUUUAUGAAAAGUAUCACACAUGUGGUUUAGAGCAUGUUAUGAGUCAUAAUCCUCAUUCCAUGGCAAAGGUCCUCGAUAAAUAUUUCAAAAAUAUAUUCCCUAAUCGAAAAGCCCCUUCUACAGGUGAUAUGACUAAUCAAUUUCGUACAGAAUUCGAUGUUGUGAUCAGUUAUUGAAAGAUUUAUAUGGCCAUGGGGAUUGCCAAGGACUUGGUCAGGGGGGUACAUGAGCACGGGUAUGCAGUCUUGAGUCCACAUAUCCCAAAAGUAAGACGACAUUGCAUGUUGAUGAAACUGGAAGGUUAAAGUAUUUUGUUGUAUCCUAUGGUGCUUGGAUUAUUAGUUUUAAACAACUGAGAAAAGUCAUAUCCAUCGAUGGGAAUUUCCUAAGGAGCAAGUAUAAUAGAGUUUUUAUAUCAGUGGUGGCACAGGUUGCCCAAGAGUCAUAUCUUUCCUAUCCAUUUUUGUGUUAUGGACAGGGACUAUGAUGUAUCAUAUGCAAAUUUUUUUUGAACGAAUACAAAGUUGUGGAGACAAUAUCAAAGAGUUGUGUAUAAUUUUGGAUAGGCAUCCAAGUAUCCAAAAUAUAGGUUCAAUUUUCUUCACUUCAGCUCACUUUAGUUGUUGCAUGAGGCAUCUUGAAGAACAUAUUCAAAACAACUUUCAUAAUGAAAGGGUCGUGACUCAUUUUUAUAGAGUAGCUAAAGCAUAUAAUAGAACUAAUUUUUUUGACCAUUUUUAUCAAAUAAGGGAUAUGCAUCCUAAGGCAGCACAACAUCUCAAAUAUAUCAAUUUUGAGAAAUAGAGCCGGGCAUUUUGUCCGGCAAAUAGGUAUAUGAUUAUGAAUUUAAUUUCUUGAUUGAGUUACAACUUUGUAAUACUGUAUGAUGUCAUACUAAGUGAUUAUAAUAUUAUGACAUCAAAUAUAAUUGAAUCAUCAAAUUCAAUGUUUGGCAUUGAAAAAGAAUUUCCCAUAUGGCGAUAUUUAAUGAAAUAAACUAGAGGUAUGCCCAAUUAUUCAUGAAUGGUGUAUGAAAUUAGUGAACAAAAUCAAUAAACUUGUUCUAAAAGUGGAAAAACAAAUAUCAACAAACAUCAGUUUGGAAAAUGUUAUUUGCCCAUCAAAUAGCAAAUUACAAGUUCAGUAUUGAUAGUCAUGGUGAUGUUGCCACGACCUAUCUUUAAUGAAGAUCUUGUAUAUUUAGAGUUUUUAACUUGGACAAAAUACCUUGUCCACAUGCUAUAGUAGUGCUUCGAGCCUAACAUGGUGCACAAUAUGGAACUCAAAUUUAUGAAAAAUAAUCUUCAUAUUAUUUGGUGAAAAGAUAUAAUGGCAUAUAGUGAGAAUAUUAAUCCGGUGCCUCCUAAAGUGAAACUUCUAGGCUUUAAACCAUAAGAAAAUUCCUUUAUUUGAUGUCUCUUUUCUAGGUAUGACUAAGGGUACCACUGUACCCAUAGGAUACGAGUUAUAGACCUCCUCUCAUAUCCUAGGCAAUAUGGUGAGGGUUACUCAGUGUCCUAGGUACGAGUUAGGCCCCCGCAUCAUACACUAAGGUAUGAGUUGUACCCAAUAUAGUCAUAUAGAGAGGUGUCUUGGACUAGAAGUAGACUAUUUUUUGUAUAAGUGAUGUGUACAGUUUAGGUCAUAAGUCAUACGCUUUGGAUACAACUCAAAGGUGUGUAGUCAUACCCUAACCGAUAUUGAUAACCUAAGAGAAGCAUAGGGUAUGAGUUAGGAUACCACUCAUAUCCUAGGGUACGAUUGGCUUAAGUGAGUCGUACCCCCCUUGAAGGCCACUUUUUAGCUUUUAAGUCAAGGGUUCAUGGUCAUUUCCCAUCCCAAAACCCUUAAUUCCCUUCAUUAUAUAUGGAAUUUUUGCCUCCUAAACUCUCAUUUACAAGACUUAAACAUUUCAAAAUACUCUCAAAGCUUCUUAAAACACGAUUGAAGGAGAGGGUUUGGAGGGCGUUUAUCUAGAAGCAAAGAAGAGUCAAGUUCCUUUGGGUAAUCAAGUUGUCUAAGGCAUGUAACUCUUUACCUAGUUUUAACUCAAUCACCAUGUGUUUUAGACAUGUAUUAAUACUUGUAAAUGAUGAUUUUGAAAUCAAAAUAUUAAGGGUUUGAUGGCUAGUGAUGAGUUAUGUGUGUUCUUACUUAGACUUAUGUUUAUACAUGAUAUUGUUGAUGUUUUGUACAUGUGGGUGCUUGUCGUAUGUAGUUGUGGAUCUGAAGUAAUACUAAUCUUGAUGAUUUCUAUCUUGAAAUUGGCCUUGGUAAGGACAUAUACACAAGGUGUUUGUGAAAAUGUCUAAGUGAAUUAUCUAGUCACAUGGUUGGAAUGUUUUAAACUAGGAAAAUGGCUCAAUAAGUAUGAAUGAUUGAUAAAUGAUUUUGUAAAGGUAUUGUGGGCCAUGUAUUGUGUAAUUGAUGACCUUGUUGGUUUGAUGGCUAGUAAAAAGUUAAAAUCCCUAGACAUCAAAUUGUACUUAAAUUGUAUGUUGAACCAAGUGUGGUAAGAAUGUGGUAUAAUAUUGCUAGUAAAGUGUGAAUGGCUUGUAAGGGUCUUGAUGACCAUAAACUAAAUUGUAUGAUGAAUUGAAUUAAGCCAUUGGCCUAUUCAAUUGUUUAAGCAGCAAAGGCUCCCAUAAAUACCUUGUAGUUAUGAAUGGUGUUGAAUUAGUUGAAUAGGUUAAAGUCCUUAAGUGUUAAUUGAAUAGAUAAUGAUGUAUGAACAAAGGGUUAAACUCCUAAUGUCAACUAUGGUAGUUGUAAUGGCUUGUGGUUAAAGUCCCUUACCUACUAAUGUUGCUUAUGGUUAAUGUCCCUUGCUUAAAUAGAAUGGCUAGUGGUUAAAGUCCCUUGACAAUUAAUGUGUCUUAUGGUUAAAGUCUCUUGCUUAAAUUAAAUGUCAUGUUGUUAGAUUCCCUUGCCUAACAAAUAUGUCGGCUUGGGUUAGAGUCCUUUAUUUACUAUGGUUUGAGGUUAGAGACCGUAUCCAAAUAUAGUUACAUGAGGUAAAAGUCCCUUUCUCAUUGAGUGUGUAUAUGGUUAAAGUCACUUUGUCAAAUGAUGAUUGUGUAUCUAUAAGUGUGGAUGGUCGGAGUCCUCUACUUUAUCAAUGAUGAAUGAGUGCUUCAAGAGUGUUGAUAAGACUGUUCCCUUAUAUGACAUAUGAUAUACCUAUAUUUAUGGAUAAGUGGAUUAAUGUGAUUGAAUAUAAUAUAUUGACCUAUGUUAAAUGAAAAUAUUAUUUUAUACAUAUCCUUGAGUUAUAUGCCAGUGCUCCAACCGCUAACCAUCUCUGAAUGCUAUGUCCCUACAUGACAUAGGGGCUGGAACAUCGUCUUUUUUUCCUGUGCAGUGAUUAGACAAUUGAAAUGAUUCAUACCUUGAAUUUGGAGUGGUGAGCAUCGUUACUUUAGAAUAUAUUCAUUCUAGGUCUCUUAUCUUUAGACUUAAUCUUAUUCAAACCUUGUUUGGCUUUUGGUGGGAGCUUGUUCCAACAUAUACAUUUCUAUACAUCAUUUUGUAUAGAGGUAUUAUGGAUCAAUGUGGACUUGGGUAUAUUGACUAGUAUGUUGAUAUAUAUGAAUUUUUUAGACAUUAUUAAGUUAUUAUUUCUGCUAUUGUGAUUAUCUAGUAGGGAAUCACUCAACUCUUGUGGUUAAUGUUAUGAUUAGGUUGAGUUGAUGGGGAAACCUCUGGUUUAUGUUGGGCCUGAGGUGCCCAUACGACAUGGCCUAUUUUCUGGUCGUGUUAAGUUGGUAUCAGAGCCUAGGUUCAUGUAGGUUGGGUGUCUAUAAUGUCGUGUUAAGUAGAGUCUAUUUUAUGGGUGUGAAGUUUUCCACACUUAAAAGAGAGGGGCUACGAGACAUUCUAGGAAAUGUUUCCCUUUCUUGUGUUUCUAUCUCAAGAUAUUGAGUUUAAGGCCUUGGAUUCCUCUGAUUUCUAUUUGCUAUCUUUUAGAUCAUGCUUCCGAGAAGAUCUGAUACCCAGUCAAACCCUUCUAUGGUCCCUAUGGAUGAAUCUCAUACAACUUUUGGGGUCCAGACCUGGGCUAGGGUUACUACUUCUGACCAUCCUUGUGGGGUUCUAUCGGUCCCUAGUAACCCUACUUAUGAGGGUGACACUCCUACUCAGUCACCACCUACGGAUGCUUCUAAUAUUGAGUUUCAUCGCUCUAUUAACCUAUUGCUCAAUUGGUUGCUUUUCAUUUGGAGAGUGGUGCUCCGGCUACUAUUUAUUUUGAGGCCAAAAGAGUUGGCCAAUUUAUGAGGUUGAUCCCUCUUAUGUUUUGGGUAUGAAGGUUAAAAAGGAUCUUCAAGGAUUCAUCAAUAAAAUAGAGAAGAUCUUCUAAAUCAUGUAUGCUUUAGAGGUUGAGGCCAUUGAGUUUGGUUCCUACCAAUUGAAGGAUAUAGAAUACCAAUAGUAUGAAGGAUGGGAGUUGUAUAGAGGUAUGGAUGCUAGUGCUGCCACGUGGGAGGAUUUCUCUGAGGCCUUCUUAGAUCACUUUUUUCCUCAAGAGUUGAUGGAAGCUAAGGAAGAAGAGUUUCUAAACUUGAAGAAAAGGACGAUGUCUACUCAGGAGUAUGCCUUGAGAUUCCAUCAGUUGUCAAGGUAUGCUCUCGAGAUGGUUUCUAGUAUAAGGGCUAGAAUGCAUAAGUUUGUUUUGGACUGUCCUGAGAGUUGGUAAUUGAGUGUAAGACAGCUUUGUUGAUUAAAAAUAUGGACAUAUCUAGGUUGAUUGUGUAUAUGAAACAAGUGGAAGAAGAUAAAAAAGGCAAGUUCAGUUUAGUGAAAGGCAAGGGAAGAAAUCUAGGCCAAUCGAGCAAAGUGGUAGAGAUGAUGGCAAGUGGCCAUGAAAUAAGUGGGAGAGUUAAGGUUUUAUCUUAUCGGCUAGUUCUCACUCUUCUUACCCAAUGUUGUUGGGUGAUAAUCGAUCUCAGUUUAGUGGUGGGUCCUAGGCACAAAGUGCCUAAUUCCAGACUAUUGGUGCUCAGUCGGCUCCACUCUACCCUCCUUGCAGAUUUUAUGGUUAGAGUCAUCAUUAUCAGUGUAAGAAGGUGAGAAAGAGAUGUUUUAGUUGUUGUUAUAUUGGGAAAAUGCAGCAUAAGUGCCCCUCUCUAGCAGCUUCUUCGGCCAACAAGGCCCCUAUUGCUACUUUCUCUUCUCCAACACCAAAGAUUGUUGUCUCUACUUCUACUUUUAUUUUUAGCAGUGAAACUGGACGAAAACACUUGUAUGCACUUCAUAUUCACAAGAAUUUUGAGGCAUCUCUCGAUGUUUUCACGAGUAUGUUAAAACUUUUCUUUUGUGAUGUAUUAUUUGCUUGAUCCAGGGUCUACUCUUUUCUAUGUGACUUUGUAUGUGGUUGUACAUAUUGAUUUUGGUCUCGAUAGUUUGUUGGUUUCUUUUUUUGUUGCUACCUAGGUAAGAGACUUUGUGGUUGUUAAAAAGGUCUAUAGAGGUGUGUGGUAGCUGUUAGUGGUAAAAAACUCUUGUAGACUUCAUAGAGUUGGACAUAGUUGAUUUUGAUGUUAUUCUGAGGAUGGAUUAGUUGCACUCGUGCUAUGCUUCCUUAGAUUGUCAGACCUGUAGGGUCAUGUUUAAAUUCCCUAAUGAGCCGGUCAUUAUCUAGGAAGGCGGUUUUUUAGUGCCUAAGGGAAGAUUCAUUUCAUAUCAUAUAGCCCAAAAGUUGAUUUUAAAGGGGUGUUUAUAUUAUUUGAUCCAAGUUAAAAAGUUCUAACUCGGAAGAGCCUUCUCUAGAAUCUGUUUCCUUGGUGUUUCUUGAUGAUCUUCCUGGUAUUUCUCCCAAUAAGGAAAUUGAUUUUGGGAUUGGUCUUGUUCCAGACACUUGUCCGAUUUCUAUCCCUUCUUAUAGAAUGGAUCCAAUGGAAUUGAAAGAACUUGAGAAAUUCAAAGACCUCUUAGAUAAAGGCUUUAUUUGUCGUAGUGUAUCUCCUUAGGGUGCUCCCAUAUUGUUUGUGCAUAAGAAGGAUGGUUCCCUUCAUAUGUGCAUUGAUUAUCACCAGUUGAACAAAGUGACCAUAAAAAAUAGAUACCCUCUUCCUAGGAUAGACGAUUUAUUUGAUCAACUUCCAGGUGAAAAGUGUUUCUCUAAGAUUGAUCUUAGAUCGAGUUAUCAUCAGCUUAAAAUUAGGUAGGCGGAUAUCCCUAAGACUACUUUUAGAACUCGGUAUGGUCACUAUGAGUUUCUAGUCAUGUCCUUUGGGUUAACCAGUGCCCCAGUGACAUUCAUGGAUUUGAUGAAUAGGGUCUUUCAUCCGUUCUUAGACAUGUUUAUUAUUUUCUUGAUUGAUGAUAUCGCAAACUUUGAAGGAUCAUUGUUUAGAUGCCAAUUUCUGUAAAUGUGAGUUUCGGUUGAAAUCCAUAGCUUUUCAUGGUCAUGUUAUCUCUAGUGAAGGGAUCAUGGUAGAUCCUCAAAUGGUUGGAAUGGUUUAGAAGUGGCGUAGAACCGCGACUCCAACCGAUAUUCAGAGCUUUUUGGAUUUAGCCGGUUACUAUAGAAGAUUCAUGGAGAGAUUUUUGACUAUAGCUACCCCAUUGACCUAUUUGACCCAAAAGAAGGUCAAGUUUUUGUGGUCGGAUACGUGUGAGGGUAGUUUUGAGAAGUUGAAAGAUAAAUUGACUUUGGCUCUAGUUUUGACCUUUCCUAAAGGUAAUGAUGGUUUUGUGAUAUAUUUUGAUGCUUCUCGCAUUGAGAUUAGUUGUGUAUUGAUGAAACAUGGUAGAGUGGUGGCCUAUGCUUCUAGGAAAUUGAAAUUUCAAGAGAAGAACAACCCUACUCAUGACUUGGAAUUGCUAGUAGUGGUUUUGCUUUAAAGAAUUGGCGACAUUAUCGAUACUACUAGCAUUUUUGGGAUAGACUUUAACCGCUAUUCCUACGUGUCCAAACUCUAAUCCAUGAUUUAUCUUUGAAUACAAGUGUCAUGAUCUUUAUCCUAGUGUGUAAAGUUCUUAUGAGGUAAAAAAUAUUCAUAGGAAUCACUUAGAACAAUGUUGUGCUUAGAGCCUUUGAUUCGUCCAAAGUUUGGUAUUCGAUUCUCAAGGGUCAAAUUUGAAUGUGUAUAAAUUUUUAUAUAUGUGGAAUUUUGCAGCUCAAAACCCACCAAAUGAUAGAUAAUUAAGCUAUCUUUCCAAUGAUAACAAUUUCUCUUUAAUUCGAUAGCCAAGAAAAAACUUAUGCCCCUUUUCGUGAGAGACAGUAAGGGGUUGAGAUAGCCCUGCAUCGUGAGGGCUAUUCCACUUAAUUAGGGGUCGCAUCGUAAGGGCAGUUUAACUAGACUAUGGGUCGCGCCGCGAGGGCUAUAUCCCCACUGUUUUAGCUUCUUAAGGGUCAAAGGGCACUUUGGUCCUUUCCCCUCAACCCCAAACAUCCAAGGCACGAAUUAAAACCCCCAAAAGGGCACUAGUUGCCUAUAUUCUUCAAAGAAACUCACAUAAAAACCCUCUCCUUUUACCCAUGAAUAAAUUUCAAGUUUCUCCUCUCAAGAACACAAGGUAUUCAAGCUUCAAUUUCAAGAUUUCUUCAAUAAUUUGUCAACUAAGGUAUGUGGAGUUUAUGAACAAGGAUCUUCUCUCAUCCUUGUUCCCAAAACUUUCUUUAACAAUUAAAGUUCAUGAUUUGCAGUUAGGGUUCAUACCCAAUUAGCCAUAUUCUUUAAUUUUGAUAUUUCCAUGAGAUUAAAGGCUUUAAGUGCAUCAAGAUUUACUUAUAUCCAUGUUUCCUCACGAAUUUUACAUUCAAGCCAUGUUAUUAGCUUAACAAUGUAAAAUAUGAUUCUAUGUGAUUCAAACCCCAAACUUACAUGUCAUGAUUUGUCAAUGCCAAGUUAAAUUGUUAAGCUCAUGUAUUUAUCCCUGUUAACAUGAUCCCAUUUUCAAGUUCACUUACUUCCAUAUUAUAAGUCAUGAGAUUAUCAGUUAUUUAAAUGCAUUAUGUUUUGGUGUCACCAAAUUAAGACUUCCUAUGAAUAUUUUAGAUGAUUUUUUCAUAUUUAAAGUGUCAUUCAGUACUGGCAGGUUACGAACACUUGAUACCUAUGUGUUUUUACAUGAUUUUAGAUUUUCGAGUAAUAACUCAGUUAAACCAUGUCUUAUUGUUAUACUCAGCUUUUCUGCUCAUGUCCAGCACUGUUAGUUUAUAGUUUUAUGAUUACUUCAGACUCUAUAUGCACUGAUGUUUUCAAAACACCAUGACCUAAGAUUAUUUUAUCAACUUUAGUGUAUGCACCCAUUUAUGAUUUUAGUGUCAGUUAAGUUGGGAGUAGGAUUUUACACCGAGAGAACCUAGGGAUGGGGGCUCACCCAUCAAUUAGGACUAGGUCCUUAGUAGCAGUCCCUAGGUUUCAAAACUAUGUAACCAGCAUAGGAUUUUAAAAUGUCACCUGCUAGUUUAAGAAUGACACUCUCUUAGGGGUCACCCACCAAUUUAAGACUGACUCUCUAAUCGUUUAGGCCACCAAAUUAAUCUAUCUAGACAACCAGUGUUAGUACCAGUGUCAUGGUACUAACACCCUUCCAACUGGGGUUACAGGUUGGACCCCGAUUAGCUUAGAUUGGAGCAUGUCAGUUAGAUGAUACCUCCCACAUUCUCAGUCAAUAUUUAGUGUAUCUCAAAUCAGGUUUGCUUGCCCAAGUCUUAGAUUUCUAGUUAUUCAGUUAUACAGAUUUCAGUCUUUCAAAUUAUAGAUUAUCUUGUAAAUAUGUUUAUGCUUGGUCUUGCAUUCUCAGUUUUACAUGUUCAUAUUUUUAUAUUUAGUAUCCAUAAAAGAUCCACAGUUCAGUUUUACAUGAUUAGUAUUCAGAUAUUAGUUAGCCAAUUUUAAUAUAUCAAGUACUUAGUAUAUGGACAUUAGUUGCCCAUUUACUUAGAUUCCAGUCAUUCAGUUAAUCAGGCAUCGACCAUUCAGUUAAUCAGAUCCUCUUAGUCUAUGUUAUGUUUGGUUUGCCAAUUUUAAUAUAUCAACUACUUAGUAUAUGGACAUUAGUUGUCCAUUUACUUAGAUUCUAGUCGUUCAAUCAAUCAGGCAUCAACCAUUCAGUUAAUCAGAUCCUCUUAGUCUAUGUUAUGUUUGGUUUGUAUGCUUAUUCAUUCAUGCUCAAUAUAUUUAUAUAUUUUGAUCUUUGAGUUAUGUUAGUUUCCAUCAUGUAGUUUUAGACCCAGUAUUCAUACAAUAUUCAUGUUUUUACCGCUUUCCAGCUUCAGUUCUACUUAUUCUACAAAAAUAAAUCUUUAAGAAACUAAGUGUAGUGAUUCACUAGCUUAUUAGAUUAUGUUUGUUACUUAUAUUUUAAGAUACUUCAGCUUUCAGUUUAGUUCAGUCUCUUGGUGAGUCUACUUGCACUUAGCAUAUAUGUUUUAAGAUUAUGUUCCUAAUCACUUUUACUUAUUGAAUUUACCCCCACUUACUGAGUACUUUCUAUAAGUACUGAUCCACAUAUAUGGCUAUGUCCUACAUUUUCUUAUAAUGUAGGUACCAGUGUAGACUACACAUCAUAAUCGUGCAGUUUACAGCUUCCAGUCAGCAGGUGAUCAGUUCUUCUAUUUUGGGGACUCCAGUUAGAUGUUGUUCAUAUACUUUAUUUUUAUUAUUCAUAUAUAUUGAGUAGUGGUAGUUUGAGGCAUGUCCCAGUUAUCUAUAGUCAGUAUAGUAGAGGCUUCAUAGUUCGUCCAUCGGAGUUAUUAAAUGUAAGUUCCAGUUCUCUAUUUAGUUUUAUUAGGUUGUAAACUUUAUCAAUAUUUUAGUUAUACAGAUUAUGUCAUGAUUAUGUUUCCUCGCAACAAAUUUAGCUAAUUUAUAUAUUCUAAAUCAGCUGUUCAAGUAUCAUUCCAGUUCAUGGGUUAGCUUUUCAUUAUUGUGGUUCUAAGCACCAUGUUAUGAGUAGAGGGUAGCCUCGGGUCAUGACAAAACUUGGUAUCAGAGCACAGAUUUCAAGUAUCUAGGGUUUCUAUGAAGUCAUGUCUAGUAGAGUCUUGCAGAAUGGUAUGAAGACGUCUGUAAUUUUCUUCAAAAGUUAAUAAGGCAUUUAAUAAAUAUUUCCCCUCUUUUAUGUCUCACAUCGUUCUGUAGAAAAGAUUCUCUAAGAAACUUAUACAGAUUUUCAUCAUGCGUAAUCCAUGUACACUCUACCUUAUUUUCAAAGUAAUAGAAAUAGUGAAGAUCAAAUUCCUACAGAUAGAGCUUUCUCAGACAGUCCCCACAGACAGUUAUUGGAGUGCACACAGGGUUAAAAGUAUCCCAUCAGUGCUUUUAAGUUUUGAAGUUUGAAGGACUUCAUUUAUGUUCAUGAAAAAUCGUGCACUAAGCCAGAGUUUGAUGUGCCCUCAAAUCCCUUCUCAGAGUCCUUUGACAUACUAUGGUUUAGAGGUAGAAGCAUGAACCUAAAAGUUUAGCAACAGUAAAGUGGGGAUAGUGUUAUCUGAAUUUAGUAGAUUAUGUAUCCAUGGAGCUAGUUUUAUGAAGGGUGAAUCAAUUGGCUUGAAAUAGUGCAUAUAAGAAUUUGAGUUUGUUGAUUCGAAAUAUAGUAUGAUAAUGUUAGGUAUAUUGGCAUAGUGGUAAUUCUCAUGGUCUAGGGAAAAAUAUAAGUUUAGAGGUGUGAUAUUAGUAGGCUAUGAAGGAAAAGAAGAAGAUUAUGUGUUUCGUGAGGCAAGUAUGUUGUUGAGAAGGGUGUAUGCAUGUGAUGAUGAUUUCCAAAGCUAAAGGUAGGAUAUAUUAAAGGAUUGUUCAAGAAUGAAGUUAGUAUAGUUCAUUAAAAGAUUGGGGAUAUCCAUGUUAAGUGUUAGAAUUUAAGUUUGAAUCUUGGUUAAAUGAACUAAUAAAAAAAAGAGAUGAAAUUCUAGAUGGUGUGAAUUCAGAAUAUGGUGAUGCUCUCGAAGAUUCUAUUCUAAGAUAGUAAGUGUUUAAGUUAUUAUUUGAUGACUAUUGGGCUAUAGAAAGUUGAGAUAUGUAUCUCAGAAUAAAGUACUAGUGGUGUGUUACACUUUCUGGUGCAGUCUUUAAAGGUGAGUUUAGUAUUCAUGUGUAUUAUUAUAUCUUUGACUCUAGUGUAGAGUGGUUGUAGUCUAUUUUAGAUUUUAUUAAAGAGUUCCACAGACUUAGAAUGAUAGCUUUAAGCUAAGGGGGAGAUGAUAGAACAAGAAACCAAGUUAGGCUUUUAGAGUCUAGUAGUGAUACUAGUAUGUUGUAAAACAACAGUAAACAACGAAGAUGCGCGACCCAUUCUUAUCUCAGUGCAAGGUUUUGUACUUUAGUCAUCACGAAAUCUACUCACGCCUUACAUGUUAGCUCUAUGAUCAUAGCUCAUAUUCAUGCACUUUCCAUAGAAUCAUGUAUGCUUCUAUAUCAUUGUAUGAGGAGUUCCAGUUCACUCAGCAGUGCGAAUUAUAUUCCCUAAAAUUAUGAACUCCAAACUCAGGUCAUGCAACUUAUGACUCAUGUACUCCUGCUUUACAAUAUACUCAAUUCCCAUAACUCACGGUGCACUCAUAAUGACCUGCAAAAUUCAGAUUAUGUCAUGUAUGUCCUUAGUUUUAAUCUCUUUAAUGAAUUCAUGCUUUUGAUAUUCUAUUCCUCUAGCUUUAAUUAAGUGUCGAAGUCAUGCAUAGUACUCUUUCAUGCUUCAGGAUCUCAUGUUGUAAUCUUUCAGUUACCUCUCCUUAUGUAAUGAUAGUGGUGAAGAGUAAUUAAUUAGAUAGGAGAGAGUAAAUGUUUCAUAUUGGGGAAAGAUUGUAACAUGCUUAUUGUAUCUUAGACUAUAAGUGUGAAGAAUGAUUGAGGUAGAACUUUCGAUAUGUGCCAUGGUUAGUUGAAAUUUUAUGUGUAUUUUCUUGGGGAUAGUGCAUGAAAGUUGUUAUUGAUAGAGGUUUAGACAAUAUGAGAAAGAUUCUUUUAUGGGUGUUUGCCUAGAAGUUCGUAUGUGGUUGUAAUGAUAGGCCUGAAUGCCAUGUUGGUAUAUAAGUGGAUUGAUGCAUUGUGUGCUAGCGACUUCCUAGUAAGAGGUUGAAUUAAGUUGUUGAAGUGGUAAGAAGAAUUAUUCUUGAGAUGAGAAUUUGUGAAACACGCAUGUGGUAUUGAAUUCAUGGUUCAGAUUAUUGUUAUGGUGUUAUGUGUAGUACUUUGAAAUUUCAAGUUAGGCUUGAACAUGGAGAGAGUAUGUAGUUCAACUUAGACUUUGGCGGGAAUGGUUAUAUGUAUCCAUGUUAGAGUUAUAUGUUGAAUCAAACAAGCCUAGUAUUUAAGAGAGAAAACAUAGUAGAGAGAUUAUUUGAGAAGUCUGGCUAAGCAUUAAAUUUAGAAGUUGCCUUUCCUAAGGCAUAGUAAUUGUAUCCUAGCCAUUGUUUUAUAGUCCUAUGUUCCAUGAUUAUAGAGUUAUAGCCGUGUUGCGAUUUUAUUGAUAUCAUGACAAGAACUCUUUGCUCCCUAAUGUUAUUAGAACUUCUUAGAAAAGUGCUAUAUAAAUACUCCAGUUGAGUAUAAGCUUUCAGUAUAAUUCAGCCCGUAUAGCUAGCAAUUCAGUUUAAAUCAGAUAAGAUAAGAUCACAUAGCUUCCCUUCUUUCUAUGUAGUCUUCCUAUCCAAAGUUUCAUAAAUAUGCCUAUUCCAUGAGGUAAUUGAUUCACAUCCAUGCAAGUUGUGAAUUUAAUUCAGUCCAUGCAUCACGUUUCAGAUUUAGAUAUGUAGUCAUGAUUCAAUUCUUAAGUGUUUAGUGAAUGACCUCAGUUUUCCAUGUAUUUCAGCGCAAACAGUGUAAUACCUCUUGCAUGAUCUUAGUCUCGUUAUCUCAUGAUUUGUGAUUACAUAAGUUAUCACCUCACUAUUCUAUGUGCAUGAUUGUAUCAUGAACCUUUCAAGUGAGUUCUAGACUCUCAGCACGAAUCAUCUUCUUAUAGUAAAUAUAGUCAAGUCAGCUCAGAAAUCAAUUUCAUGAUUAAAGUUCUAAUGUUUUAGAUCAUCUAUAUCCUUCAUAACCAGACAUGUCAUGUGUACAUCAUUCCACACUUAUAAAACUUCAACAAGUUCCUAUCCUUCAUUUGAGGAUGAAUGAUUCCAAGGGGGAGAUAAUGUAACACCCUAUAUUUUUGGGCUAGACUUUGAACCCUCGUUCCUACGUGUGUAAGCUCUAAUACCAUGAUUUAUAUUUGAAUACAUGUGUCAUGAUCUUUAUCCUAGUGUGUGAAGUGAUUAUGAGGGGAAAAAUGUUCUUAGUAAUCACUUAGAACAAAAUUGAGCUAAGAGCCUUUGAUUCGUCCAAAGUUUGGUAUUUGUUUCUACAAGGGUCAACUUUAAACAUAUAUAACUUUUUAAAUAUGUGGAAUUUUGCAGCUCACAACCCGCCAAAUGAUAUAUAAUUGAGUUGUCUUUCCAAUGAUACCAAUUUAUCCUUAAUACGAUACCCGAGAGAAAAGUUAUGCCCAUUUUCAUGAGAGACAGUAUGUGGUCGUGAUAGCCCCACAUUACGAGGGCUAUUCCACUUAAUUAGGGGUCACAUCAAGAGUGUUUAACUGGACUAGGGGUCACACCGCAGGGGCUAUUCCCCCAUUGUUUCAGCUUUUAAGGGUCAAGACGGUACUUUGGUCAUUUUCCCUAAACCCUAAAUGUCCCAAGCAUGAAUUAAAGCACCAAAAAGGGCAUUAUUUGCCCAUCUUAUUCGAAUCAACUCUUGUAAACACCAUCCUCUUUUCCCUAUGAACAAAGUUCAAGUUUCUCCUCUCAAGAACACAAUUAAUUCAAGGGUCAAUUUCAAUACUUCUUCAAGAAUUCAUCAACUAAGUUAUGUGGGGUUUAUGAACAAGGAUCCUGUCUCAUCCUUGUGACCAAAACUUACUUUAACGAUUAAAGUUAAUGCUUGGCAAUUAGGGUUCAUACCCAAUUAGCCAUAUUCUUCAAUUAUUAUAUUUCCAUGAGAUUAAAGACUUUAAGUUUAUCAAGAUUUACUCAUAUCCAUGUUUCCUCACUAAUUUUACAUUCAAGCCAUGUUAAUAGCUUUAUCAUGUAAAUUAUGGUUCUGUGUGAUUCAAACCCCAAACUUACAUGUCACGUUUGGUCAAUGCCAAGUCAAAUUGUUAAAAUCAUGUAUUUAGCCUUAUAAACAUGAUCCCUUUUUCAAGGUCACUUACUUCCAUAUUUAUAAGUCAUGAGAUUAUUAGUUAUUUAAAUACAUUAUAUUUUGGGUUCCCCAAAUUAGGACUUCCUACAAAUAUUUUAGAUGGUUUUAUCAUAUUUAAAGUGUUAUUUAGUGUUGGCAGGUUAUGAACAUCUGAACCUAUGUAUUUUUACAUGAUUUUAGAUUUUCAAGUAAUAAGUCAGUUAAACCAUGUCUUAUCAUUAUAGUCAGUUGUUAUGCUCAUGUCGAGCACUAUAAAUUUACAUGUUUAUGAUUACUUCAAACUCUGUAUGCACUGAUAUUUUCAAAACACCAUGACCCGAGCUUAUCUUAUCAGCUUUAGUGCAUGCACCAGUUCAUGAUUUAAGUGUCAAUUCAUUUGACAGUAGGAUUUAGCAUCGAGCAAACCUAGGUUUGGGGGCUCACCCGCCAGUUAGGAUUGAAUCCUUAGUAACAGUCCCUAAGUUCUAGAACUAUGUAGCUAGUGUAGGAUAAUGAUAUGCCAUCCACCAGUUUAGGACUGGCACUCUCUUAGGGGUCACCCUCUAGUUUAGGAAUAACUCCCUAGUACUUCAAGACAUUUGAUUAGUGGAUCCACACAGCCAGUGUUAGUGCUCGUGGAAUGGUAAUGACACCCUUCCAGUUGGUUAGACCCCGAUUAGCUUAGAUUGGGGUAUGUCAGUUAGAUGAUACCUCCUACAUUCUUAGUCAGCAUUCAGUGUAUCUCAGAUCAGGUUAGCUUGACCAAGUCUAUAGAUUUUUAGUUAUUUAGUAUAUAGAUUUUGAUCUUUCAAAUUAAAAAUUAUCUAAGAAAUAUGUUUAUGCUUGGUCUUGCAUUCUUAGUUUAACAUGUUCACAUUUCCAUGUUUAGUAUCCAUAAAAGAUCCACUGUUCAGCUUUACAUGAUUAGUAUUCAGAUAUCAGUUAGUUAAUUUUGAUAUAUCAAUUACUUAGUAUAUGGACAUUAGUUAUCCAUUUACUUAAAUUUUAGUAGUUUAGACAGUCAGGUAUCAGCCAUUCAGCUAAUCUGAUCCGCUUAUUCCAUGUUAUGUUUGGUUUGUAUUCUUAAUGAUUCAUGCUCAGUAUAUUUAUAUAUUCAAAUCCUCGAGUUAUGUCAGUUUCCAUCAUGUAGUUUCAGACCCAGUAUUCAUACAGUAUUUAUGUUUUUACCUCAUCCCAGCUUCAGUUAUAUGUAUUCUACAAAAGUAAAGUUUUAAGAAAUUAAGUGUAGUGAUUCAACAGCUUAUCAGAUUAUGUUUGUUACUUAUGUUUUAAGAUACUUCAGCUUUCAGUUUAUUUCAGCCUUUUGGUGAGUCUACUUGCACUUUGGAUGCAUGUUUUAAGAUUAUGUUCCUAAUCACUUUUACUUAUUGCAUUCACCCCCACUUAGUAUAUUCUUGAAGUACUGAUCCAAAUAUAUGUCUAUGUGCUACAUUAUCUCAUAAUGUAGGUACUAGUGUAGCCUACACAUCAUAAUUGGGUAGUUUGCAGCUUCCAGCCAGCAGGUGAUGAGUUCUACUAUUUUGGGGACUCCAGUCAGAUAUUGUUCAUGUACUUUAUUUUUAUUAUUCAUAUAUAUUUAGUAGUGGUAUUUUGAUGCAUGUCCCGAUUAUCUAUAGUUAGUAUAGUAAAGUUUUCAUAGAUAGUCAGUCGGAGUCAUGAAAUGCAAAUUCCAGUUCUCUCUUCAGUUUUAUCAGGUUGUAAACUUUAUCAAUAUUUUAUUUAUCCAGAUUAUGUCAUGAUUAUGUUUUCACAUAACAAAUUUAGCUAAUUUAUAUAUUUUAAAUUAAUUUCUCAAGUAUCAUGCAAGUUCAUGGGUUAGCUUGGGAUCACUUGUGGUUCUGAGAACCGUAUCACAAUAAUGGGAUAGCCUCGGGUCGUUACAUUAUCUCUAUAGGGUUCAUGUUGAUAUGUUUUCUGAUCAUAAGAGUCUUUAGUAUGUGUUUACUUAGGAGUUGAAUAUCAAGCAAAAAAGGUGGCUUGAGUUGUUGAAAGACUAUGAUAGAGUCUUCAUUACUAUCCAGGUAAGGCUAAUGUAGUUUCCAAUAUUCUUAGUAGAUAUUCUAUUGGAAGUUUAGCCCAUGUUCAUGAGGACAAGUGGGAAUUGGUGGAGGACAUUCACUAUUUGGAUAAUCUUGGAGUUCGUCUCACGGACUCAAAUGAUGUGGUGUAUUUGUGCAACAAGUAUCUCAGUCGUCUCUUGUUGUUGACAUAAAGGAAAAACAAAUGGUGGAUCCCGAUUUGAUGAAUAUCAAGUGUAAUGUGGGUCAACAAAAGAUAGUUGACUUUUUGAUUGGUGGUGAUGGUAUCGUGAGGUACCAAGGUAGACUAUGUGUUCCCGACAUUGAUAGAUUGAGAGAAAGGACUAUGGCCAAGGCUCAUGAAUCUCGGUAUGGUAUUCAUCCCGGUUCCAAAGAGAUGUAUUAUGAUCUUAGAAGGUGCUAUUGGUGGAAUAAUUUAAAAUGUGAGCUUGCUAGCUAUGCGGCUAAGUUUAUGGUGUGUCAACAAGUAAAAGUUGAGCACAUGAGGCCUGUUUUUUUGUACCAAACAAUUGUGUUACCAUAAUGGAAGUGGGGGCAAUUAAUAUGGAUUUCAUUUCCACUCUUCUUUGGUCUCGAAAUCAAUAUGUUUCUCUUUGGCUCAUUGUUGAUUGAAUGACCAAGUCUGCUCAUUUCUUGCCAGUAAGGACUACUUACUCGAUGAAGAAUUAUGCUAAAUUAUAUCUUGCAAAGAUCGUGAAAUUGCAUGACCCAAGAAAUUUUGGUUUCUAUCAUUUCUAUCACCUAAAAUGAUGGAAAUAAUGUAACGACCCAACAAAUUUCAGUUUCAAUCAUUUUGGGUCAUGGUCCUCCAUUCUCAUCUCACUUUUGGAAGUCUUUCAAAAAAGGUUUGGGAACUAAGGUGUGCCUUAGUACCACUUUUCACCCACAUUCGGAUGAAUAAAUAGAGAGGACCAUCUAAAUAUUAGAAGAUAUGUUGCGGGCUUGUGCUAUUGAUUAUGGUGGUAAUUGGUACGACUAUUUGCCUUUGAUUGGGUUUGCCUAUAAUAAUAGUUACCACUCUAGUAUUUGGCCCAUUUUAAGCAUUGUAUGGUAGGAGAUGUCGAUCUCCUAUUGGAUGGUAUGAAUUUGGUGAGGGUAAAUUACUUGGCCCCAAUUUAUUUCACCAAGCCUUAGAUAAGGUGAAGGUGAUUCGUGAUAGAUUGAAAACUGCUCAAAGUUGCCAAAAGUACUAUAUAGAUAUGAGGCGUAGGGACUUAGAGUUUAAUAUUGGUAAUUGUGUAUUUUUUAAGGUGUCUCGCAUGAAGGAAGUGAUGUGGUUUGGUUAAAAGAGGAAACUUAGUCCUUGAUAUGUUGGUCUCUGCUUGAUUGAGAAGAGGGUUGUCAAUGUUUCCUAUGAAUUGGAGUUUCCUUCUAGUAUGGACUCCAUUAACCCAGUUUUCCAUGUGUCCAUGUUGUGGAAAUGUGUGGUUCACCCUUCCUUGGUUAUUCCCAUGGAAGAUGUUGGUAUUUUGGACUCUUUGUCCUAUUAGGAUGUCCUAGUGAGGAUCUUGGAUCGACAAGUUCUCCGGUUGUGAAUGAAAGAGGUAGCUUUAGUGAAGGUUCUAUGGAGGAACCAAAAGACCGAGGAAGCUACUUGGGAAGCAAAGGAGAAUAUGAAGUCCAAGUAUCUACAUUUGUUUUUGACAUUUUGGAAACUUAUGAUUGAGGUAUGUAUUAAUCUUCUUACCUUGAGUUGUGUCUUGUUAGACCAUGGGUUCAAGUCCCUAAUGGUUUGAAAUUGUUUGUGUCCUUGUUGUGUAAUGGUUUAAGUCCCUAAUACUUUGAGUUGAUUCAUGUCUUAUGAUGGGUUAUAGUCCCUAGUCAUUAAAUUGAGCAAGUAUUCUUGAUAAGUCAAUGGGUUAAAGUCCCUAAGUUAUGAAAUGAGUAAGUGAUUUGAUAAGUAGUGGGUUUGAGUCCCAAGGUCAAUGAAAUAAAUGGUUGAUGGAUGAUGAUCAUGAUAUUUGUUGUAUCCAUAUUAUGUUCUUGCUUCGAACUUGUUAAAGGUUUGUUUUAUGUGUAAUAAUGUGCUAACGUGUUUUUACGGUUGUCUCACCCAUCAUUCGAGGACAAAUGAUUCCAGUGGGGCAGAAUUGAAACACCUAGGCUUUAAACCAUAAGAAAGUUUCUUCAUUUGAUGUCUCUAGCUAGGUAAGACUAAGGGUACCACUUGUACCCCUUGGAUACGAGUUGUAGACCCCCUCUCAUACCCUAGGAAGUAUGGUCAGGGUUACUCACUGUCCUAGGUACGAGUUAUCUCCCAAUCAUAACUAACGUACAAGUCAUACCUAACAUGGUCGUAUAGAGAGGUGUCUUAGACUUAAAGUGGACUGUUUUUGGUAUGAGUGGUGUGUAAGGUUUAGGGAAUGAGUCGUACCCCUUGGAUAUGACUCAAGGGUGUGUAGUCGUACCCUAACUAGUGUAGAUAACCUAGGAGAAGCCUAGUAAAGAGUUGGAGGCGUGGGGGGCCUCAAGGUGUUGUCUCCCCCCCCCCCCCGGAAAGCCACUAUUUAGUGCUUUAUGGUUAUUUCCCACCGCAAAACCCUUAAUUCCUUUCACUAUAUAAGACAUUGUAACCUCCUAAACCCUUAUUUACAAGACUUAAACAUUCCAAAACACUCUCAAAGCUUCUUGAAACAAGAUUGGAAGCUAGGGGUUGGAGGGUGUUCAUCUAGAAGCAACGAAGAGUUAAUAUCCCUUGGUGAAUCAAGUUAUCUAAGGCAUGUAACUAUUUCCCUUGUUUUAAACCAAGCACCAUGUGUUUUAGACAUAGAUUAAUACUUGUAAAUGAUUAUUUUGAAAUCAAAAUGUUAAGGGUUUGAUGCCUAGUGAUGAGUUAUGUGUGUUCUUGCUUAGACUUGUGUUUAUACAUGAUAUUGUUGAUAUUUUGUACAUAUGGGCAAUUUUUAUAUGUGGUUUAACAUGUAGGUCUUGAUUAACCCUAAUCUUGACUAUUUCUACCUUUAAAUUAGCCUUGGUAAGGGCAUGCACAAAAGGUGUUUGUGAAAAUGUCUUAGUGAAUUGUCUAGUCACAUGGUCGGGUUGUUUUGAACUAGGGAAAUGGCCCAAUAAGUAUGAUUGAUAAAUUAUAUUGUAAAGGUAUUAUGAGCCAUGUAUUGUGUAAUUGACGACCUUGUUGGUUUGACAGCUAAUAAGAGGUUAAAGUCCUUAGACAUGAAAUUGAAAUUGAAUUGGUCACAUUUUAUUCAUGAAAUGGCUUGGAUUGAUAUUAGUCUGGAUAUGGCAAAAUCAUUCUAUUAGAUUGAAUAAGUAAAUUCGAUCUAAUAAGUACCUUGUGUUAGAAUUGAGAAAUUUUAUGGCUUGGAUCUUUAGUAUUCUCUUAUUUAUUACCUGUGUCUACAAUUUAGGCAGAAUACCCUCACCCAUUCUUACUAAGAAACUGAAAGAAGCUAAGAAACUGAAAGAGGCCUCAAAAACAGAAGAAAGGGAGGAAAGUGAGGAAGAAAGAGAUGUAGAAACUGCUUCCGAAAUGAAGGGGACUAAACAGGAACAAGAGGGAUCCACUGAAGAAGAUCCUUAUCCUUCUCCUUCCCCUUUUUCGGAAGAAGGGUCGGAUCCGGACAAAAUCGAUGAAACGGAAGAAAUUCGAGUGAAUGGAAAGGACAAAAUAAAGGAUAAAUUCCACUCUUACCUUACAGAGAGAGGCUAUAAAAAUAUUAAUACUAGUAAUUGUGAAAUUUAUGAUAAAAAAGAUUCUUAUCUGAAUUUGAUUCAAAAAUCAAAAAGUCACGGGUAAUCCAAAAAAUUUUAAAUUGCAAUUUCUUGAUAACGAAAAUGAAAAUCAAGAACUCUUCGGGUUUCAAAAACCUCUUUUGAGUAUUCUUUUUGAUUAUAAUCGGUGGAAUCGACCAUUUCGCUACAUAAAGAAUAAUCGAUUUGACCAAGCCGUAAAAACUGAAAUGUCACAAUAUUUUUUUGACACAUGUAAAAGUGAUGGAAAACAAAGAAUAUCUUUUACAUACCCGCCAAGUUUAUCAACUUUUUUGAAAAUGAUAAAAAGAAAGAUACCCCUAUUGUCACUCCAAAAAACGCUCCCUCAUGAACUGGACAAUCAGUGGGUUUCUACCAACAAAGAAAAAAGUAAUAAUCUGAAUAAGGAAUUUUUAAAUCGACUUGAAGUUCUAGACAAGGAAUCUCUUUCUCUGGAUAUACUUGAAACAAGGACUAGAUUGUGUAAUGAUGAUACUAAAAAAGAAUACAUGCCUAAAAUGUACGAUCCUUUGUUAAAUGGACCAUAUCGAGGAACAAUCAAAAAAGGGGUUUCACCUUCAAUCAUAAACAAUAAUUCGCUAGAAAAUUUGAAAGAGAGAGUUAGACUAAAUAGGAUUCAUACUAUCUUUCUUCCGAAUACUGAUUACCAAGAAUUUGAACAAAAAGUGGAUACGAUUGAUAAAAAACCAUUAUCAACAGAAAUUGACGAGUUCUUAACUUUAAUCAAUGAAUUUGGUAAGGAACCAAAAUCGAGUUUAAAUUUGAAAGACCUUUCUUUAUUUUCAGACCAAGAACAGGUAAGAACGAAUUCAGAAAAAGGAACUAAAUUUUUAAAAUUUGUAUUCAACGCAAUUGAUCCUAAUGAGACAAAAUCUGGAAACAAAUCGAUUGGAAUAAACGAAAUCAGUAAAAAAAAACCUCGCUGGUCAUGUAAAUUAAUCACCGAAUUGGACCAACAAUUGGGUAAAUUUGAAGAUGGCCUAUCAGUAGAUUAUCAAAUUCGUUUAAGAAAAUUCAAACGUGUAGUUAUUUUUACUGCCAACAACGAGAAGAAGGAUCCUGAUGAGACCAACGAGGAAGUGCCUUUAAUAAUCUAUUCGCAACAAUCCGAUUUUCGGCGAGGUAUAAUUACAGGCUCUAUGCGGGCUCAAAGGCGAAAAACAGUUAUUUGGAAACUAUUUCAAGCAAAUGCGCAUUCCCCCCUUUUUAUCGACAGAAUAACCCCCCCCCGUCUUUUUUCUUUUGAUAUCUCUGGACUGAUUAAACCAAUUUUUCGAAAUUGGACAGGUAAAGAGGGAGAAUUCAAGAUUCUAGAGUCUAAAGAAGAACAAACAAAAAGAGAAGAGAAAAAAGAAAAGGACAAAAAAAAGGAGAACACCAGAAAGGAAAAAGCACGGCUAGCGGUAGCAGAAGCCUGGGAUAACAUUCUUUGUGCGCAAAUAAUAAGAGGUUACAUGUUAAUAACUCAAUCAAUUCUUCGAAAAUAUGUUGUAUUACCUUCAUUGAUAAUAGCCAAAAAUCUCGGGCGUAUGUUAUUCUUGCAACUUCCUGAAUGGUCUGAGGAUUUGCAGGAAUGGAAUAGAGAAAUGCAUAUUAAAUGUACUUAUAAUGGUGUUCAAUUAUCAGAAACAGAAUUUCCACAAAAUUGGUUGAGCGAUGGGAUUCAGAUCAAAAUUUUAUUUCCUUUUUGUCUGAAACCUUGGCAUAUAUCUAAACUGCACCCCUCCCGCGUAGAGCUGAUGAAAAAGAAAAAACAAAAAGAUGAUUUUUGUUUUUUAACAGUUUUGGGAAUGGAAGCUGAACUUCCCUUUGGUUCUCCCCGAAAGCGCCCUUCCUUUUUUGAGCCCAUUUUUAAGGAACUCGAAAAAAAAAUUGGAAAAUUUAAAAAGAAAUAUUUUAUAACUUUUAUAACUAUAACUCGAAAAGUUUUAAAAGGAAAAACAAAAUUAUUUCGAAGAGUUUCAAAAGAAACCAAAAAAUGGCUUAUAAAAAAUAUUCUAUUUCUAAAAAAAAUAAAAAAAGAACUUUCAAACAUAAAUCCAAUUGUAUUAUUUAGAUUCAAAGAAAUAUCUGAAUCGAAUGAAACGAAAAAAGAAAAAGAUUAUCUAAUUAGUAAUCAAAUAAUUAACGAAUCAUUUAGUCAAAUUGAAUCUGGAAAUUGGCCAAAUUCUUCACUGAUAGAAACCAAAAUGAAGGAUUUGACUGAUAGAACAAGUACAAUAAAAAAUCAAAUAGAAAGAAUUACAAAAGAGAAAAAGAAAGUAACUCCAGAAAUAGACAUUAGUCCUAAAUCGCCAAAAAAUAUUUUCCAAAUAUUAAAAAAAAGAAAUACUCGAUUAAUAUGUCAAUUCCAUUAUUUUAGAAAAUUAUUCAUUCAAAGAUUAUACAUCGAUCUAUUUUUAUCUAUCAUUAAUAUUACAAGAAUUAAUACACAACUCCGUCUUAAAUCAACAAAGAAAUUGAUUGAGAAAUACAUUUCCAAUAAUGAAAUAAAUCAAGAAAAAAUUAAUAAUAAAAACAAAAUUAACUUUAUCUUUAUUUCGACUAUAAAAAAGUCACUUUAUAAUAUUUAUAAUAUUAGUAAGAAAAAUUCACAUAGUUUUUUUGAUUUAUCCUACUUGUCACAAGCAUAUGUAUUUUACAAAUUAUCACAAACCCAAGUUAUUAAUUUGUCUAAAUUUAAAUCUGUUCUUCAAUAUAACAGAACGUCUUUUUUCCUUAAGACUAAAAUAAAGGACUAUUUUAGAACACUAGGAAUAUUUCAUUCUGAAUUAAAACAUAAAAAACCUCAGAGUUAUAGAAUCAAUCAAUGGAAAAACUGGUUAAGACGGCAUUAUCAAUACGAUUUAUCUAAGAUUAGAUGGUCUAGAUUAAUGCCAAAAAAAUGGAGAACUGGGGUUAAUCAAAGUUGUAUGGCUCAAAAUAAAAAUAGAAACUUAAACAAAUGGAAUUCAUAUGAAAAAGACCAAUUAAUUCAUUACAAAAAAGAAAAUGAUUCUGAACUCUAUUCAUUAUCAAACCAAAAAGAUAAUUUUAAAAAAUGUUAUAGAUAUGAUCUUUUAUCAUAUAAAUCGAUUAAUUAUGAAAAUAAAAGUUACUCAUUUAUUUCUAGAUUACCCUUUCAAGUAAAUAAGAACUUCGAAAUUUCUUAUAAUUCCAACACGCCCAAACACAACCCUUUUGAUAUGCCCGACAAUCUUCAUAUCAAUAAUUAUCUAAUAAAAGGCAAUCUUCUACAUCUACAUAUAGAAAGAAAUCUCGAUAGAAAAUAUAGAAAAUAUUUUGAUUGGAAAAUUCUCCAUUUUUCUGUUAGACAAAAAGGAGAUAUUGAGGCCUGGGUUAAGAUCGAUACCAACAGUAAUCGAAAUACUAAAAUUGGUAUUAAUAAUUAUGAAAUAAUUAAUAAAAAAGGACUUUUUUAUCUUACAACUCAUCAAAAUCCAGAAAAAACUAAAAAAAAUUCGAAAAAAGACUUUUUUGAUUGGAUGGGAAUGAAUGAAAAAAUAUUUAAUCGUCCCAUAUUGGAUAUGGAAUUUUGGUUCUUCCCAGAAUUUGUACUACUUUAUAAUGUAUAUAAAAUAAAACCGUGGAUUAUACCAAGCAAAUUACUUCUUUUAAAUUUGAAUACAAAUGAAAAUGUUAGUAAAAAUCAAAAUAUCAAUAAAAACAACAAAAAAAACUUUUUUCUACCAUCAAAUAAAAAAAUAAAGAAUCGAAUUCAAGAAGCAAAAGAACCCGCAAGUCAAGGAAAAAGAGAGCGUGGAUCAGAUAUAGAAAACAAAGGAAAUCUGGGCCCUGUUUUCUCAAAACAUCAAAACGAUCUUGAAAAAGAUUACGCGGAAUCAAACACAAAGAAGGGUAAAAAUAAAAAACAAUACAAAAGCAACACGGAAGCAGAACUAGAUUUGUUCUUGAAACGUUAUUUGCUUUUUCAAUUGAGAUGGAACGAUACUUUGAAUCAAAGAAUAAUCGAAAAUGUAAAGGUAUAUUGUCUCCUGCUUCGACUGAUAAACCCAAACAAAAUUGCUAUAUCGUCAAUUCAAAGGAGAGAAAUGAGUUUGGAUAUAAUGCUGAUUCAGGCGAAUUUACCUCUUACAGAAUUGAUGAAGAAGGGGUUAUUGAUUAUCGAACCUAUUCGAUUGUCUGUAAAAAAUAAUGGACAAUUUAUUAUGUAUCAAACCGUAGGUAUUUCAUUGGUUCAUAAAAGUAAACACCAAACUAAUCAAAGAUACCGAGACCAAAGAUAUGUUGAUAAAAAUCAUUUUGAUUUGCUUGUUCCUGAAAAUAUUUUAUGGUCUAGACGUCGUAGAGAAUUGAGAAUUCGAAGUUUUUUUAAUUCUUUGAAUUGGAAUGGCGUCGAUAGAAAUUCAGUAUUUUCCAAUGAAACUAAUGUAAAAAACUGGAGUAAAUUUUUGGAUGAAAGGAAACCUCUUUAUAAAGAUAAAAAUGAAUUAAUUAAAUUAAAGUUCUUUCUUUGGCCUAAUUAUCGAUUAGAAGAUUUAGCUUGUAUGAAUCGUUAUUGGUUUGAUACCAACAAUGGUAGCCGUUUCAGUAUCUUAAGGAUACAUAUGUAUCCACGAUUGAAAAUUAAUUGAUAUUACUAUAUACCCUGUCUCGUAUAGAGUAUCUGAAAGAAAACAAAUGCACACAUGCCUUGUCUUACAUCUCAUUCGAAUCUAAUUCGAGUAGACGAUACUAAAUCAAUAAGGUAUCGAUUAGAUCUAGAAAU